GGUCUGUAAGGCAAGGGGGGCAGAGAUGGAUUAGGGGCAGCAUCACACCCACCAGGCACCCCAUGAUGAAAAGCAGACACUCACCUUUACAAGCACAGGAUACCCUGGAAUGACUUUUUAAGCCAAGUGGUAAACAUGGCAGCGGCUGUUAUUAAGAUUUCCAACAAACAGUAACUUUAAAGAUUAUCUGAUCUGAAAUCUUGCCAUCGUAGAACUCUAGACACCAAUACGAUUACUACACAAGAGACAUUCUUUGCAAGACUUCCACUACACUAUAUAUUUGGAUUUUACAUCACUGAAAGAUGUUAAUCGUUUUACAUAAAAAUUGAAGUUCAGGAAGCACUGCUGUGUGUCUGAACUGAAUAAAGUUUAUCUAAAGGAAAGCUAACUGCAAAACAGAAAAUGACUCUAAAAAGGAAAGGUAUUCCAUUAAUAAUCUUUACAAAUCCUCUUCUGAAAAGUUAAAAUGGACUUGAUUUGAAUAAAUUAAAUACCCACCCUGAUAUGCUACAGAUACACAAUAAUUAAGCAUAACCUAAAUCUCCUGAGGGGUUUUUUCUUUACACUAACCUGUCCAAUUUCCAGCGAAAACAUCCAUGCAUCAUUACCCACCAAAAAACUUCACAGAAACUACAGAGAAAUUGAAGAAAUGCUUGGUAGGUCAGUAAAGUUUGGCAGAAAGACACAGUCAUUCAUGGAUUUCCUCCCCA